rnacentral:rRNA from 1 species
UACGUAGGGUGCAAGCGUUGUCCGGAAUUAUUGGGCGUAAAGAGCUCGUAGGCGGUUUGUCGCGUCUGCUGUGAAAACUCGGGGCUUAACUCCGGGCCUGCAGUGGGUACGGGCAGACUAGAGUGCGGUAGGGGAGACUGGAAUUCCUGGUGUAGCGGUGAAAUGCGCAGAUAUCAGGAGGAACACCGGUGGCGAAAGCGGCGCGCUGGACCUCUUCUGACGCUGAGGCGCGAAAGCCAGGGGAGCAAACGGG